rnacentral:lncRNA from 1 species
UAAUAACCCCCUGAGCCUACGUGGAUGACUGCAUAGUCACAGUUUUAUUUUCUGGCAGGUUUAAUGUUGACAUACUAAUUUCCCAUAGUAGUUUGUGGUUUGAUUGUACUUUCAAGUACUUAUUUCAUUUCAUCCUCCACAAUCUCUGUGAUUUUCCUGAAAAUGCUUAGAAAUACUGAAAGAAGAAAUUAGAAAUAAGAGCUGCUAGUUUGGGAGAAUCUAUUAAGUCUAGCACUCAGCUGUCUAUGUCCUUUAAAUGCAUUACCUCCAGUUUUCACAAUGGCCCUACCUGCUGAGUUUUUCCACGUAUAGAAGUUGAAGAUGUGAUGUUUAGCAACUUUCCCAAGAAUGCACUCCUGAAGAGUACUUAAGCUUAGGUUUUUGUCUAUCUCUGAAAACCAUUAUCCAGCUAAGAAAAAAUUUUAGAAUACAAAAUUAUUGACUUGUUUUUAUGACAAAACAACACCUAAGCGCUUUUAUCCAAAUAGGCAGAGUAAUGGAGGCUGUCAGGAAGCUCCACGUACUCUAGCUGUGUUUUCAGACGCCAGUUGCAAGAAGAGCAAUGAGCCAGAAGUUAAUGCUGCUGUCUGCCCUGCUCUCUAGUUGGCCAUUGCUUCUCUUGCUUCUCUUGGCAGCUUUAGCAUUAUAUGUGCAAUAAUGUCGUCUCAGGAGCUGACUUGAGAGGUGUGAAUAUAAUUUGCGAUUUUCACCUUGGAAAUGAUGACCUAUUGUUCAACUUAGGAUGUAGCAUUUCAACAUCAGUAAAAUCACUGUCUAUUGGAAGAUAGCGCUGUGUUGUUUCAGGGUUGGUUGUUUUGGACUUUUAAAAAC